UCGGGAAUAUUGCACAAUGGAGGAAACUCUGAUGCAGUGACGCCGCGUGCAGGAAGAAGGUUUUCGGAUUGUAAACUGCUUUAGACAGGGAAGAAACAAGACAGUACCUGUAGAAUAAGCUCCGGCUAACUACGUGCCAGCAGCCGCGGUAAUACGUAGGGAGCAAGCGUUAUCCGGAUUUAUUGGGUGUAAAGGGUGCGUAGACGGGUAAGCAAGUUAGUUGUGAAAUCCCUCGGCUUAACUGAGGAACUGCAACUAAAACUACUAAUCUUGAGUGCGGGAGAGGAAAGUGGAAUUCCUAGUGUAGCGGUGAAAUGCGUAGAUAUUAGGAGGAACACCAGUGGCGAAGGCGACUUUCUGGACCGUAACUGACGUUGAGGCACGAAAGUGUGGGGAGCAAACAGGAUUAGAUACC
rnacentral:rRNA from 1 species